rnacentral:lncRNA from 10 species
AGAACUUCUAGUGCUCUGGGCAGCUGCGAGGGGUCAAGAAACCACAUCCCCAAAUCCAGCGGGUGAGUCUCAUUCCUUUGCUGAGUGGGGGCCUAAAAUGGGGCACUGUGGCUGCCUGACAAAGGAAGAGACUGAUGGCUGACCCUUAGAUGUGGGCUAGGGGACUGUAAUUGAUUUCCCUUCACAUUUCUGUCAGCAGGAGGAAUAACAGGAGGGCUAAGCGGGAAUUGUGGUGUUCAAAGUCAAAGAACAUUAACCUGCGGAUAACUCUGGGCCUCAUUAGCAACCCAGCCUUCUGAUGUUUUCUCUCCACACACAGGAUCUCAGAGAGAAAGGCUGAUGGGAAGCUGCCCAGGGCUGACCUGGCACAUGCUGGGAAAACCCCUCGGUGCCAGGGCAGGAGGCAGAGCGUCUGCAGCUCCUCCCUCCCCAACACAGGGGGUAAGGAAUACAGCAGAACGGGAAUCGGGCGCCUUCAUGCUGCUGUUACCGCCCUUGGUUCAUGGCUUCUUUCACUUGGAAACCCCAGGAGCUAAGUUCCUGUUGACGAGGCGGCCCAGCUCCCCAGGCGUGGCUGUGUUCCGGAUAUCCACAUCGUGGGGCGACACAUAAAGCUUUGUGUCAUUCAAGUCAAAGAACUCGACUUCUGUGAGACCCACCCACCACGAGUUGCCCCAGUUGGACAGGAUCUCCAUGGUCACGUAGAUGGCAUCUUUGAUCUCGUCUGCCCUCAUUCUCUGUUUGUCCUUAAAGAAGAGAAAAAUAACACCAAAGGAUUAAGUCAUGACAGGCUUGAAUUCGGCUCUGCCUCUGCCACCACUGCCUUCAAAAAGUUAGUUAACCUUCAGGGUCUCAGUCUCUCCAUCUGUACAAUGAGGAUAAGAAUAGCACCCACUACCUAUGGUUAUUACAAUGAUUAAAUGAAUUCAUACUGUAAAGCAUUCAAAAUAGAGGCCCUGUGUAACUGGCACUCUGUGAGCAUUCUGUUUGAAAGUUUACAAAUAAAUAAAAAUGUCUAAAAAGCAUUGAA